UACGUAGGGGGCUAGCGUUGUCCGGAUUUAUUGGGCGUAAAGAGCGUGUAGGCGGCCAGGUAGGUCUGCUGUGAAAACUCGAGGCUCAACCUCGAGACGUCGGCGGAAACCAUCUGGCUAGAGUCCGGAAGAGGAGAGUGGAAUUCCUGGUGUAGCGGUGAAAUGCGUAGAUAUCUGGAGGAACACCGGUGGCGAAGGCGGCAUCCUGGACCGACACUGACGCUGAGGAGCGAAAGCCAGGGGAGCAGACGGG
rnacentral:rRNA from 1 species